rnacentral:tRNA from 1 species
GCCCAGCCGGUAGGGUGGAUAUGACCCUCGGCUUGGAACCGAGUGGGUUCAGAUUCGAAUCCCGAGUAGGGCA